rnacentral:rRNA from 1 species
UACGAAGGGGGCUAGCGUUGUUCGGAAUUACUGGGCGUAAAGCGUGCGCAGGCGGCUUCUCAAGUCAGGGGUGAAAGCCCAGAGCUCAACUCUGGAAUUGCCUUUGAGACUGAGUGGCUUGAGUACGGGAGAGGUGAGUGGAAUUCCCAGUGUAGAGGUGAAAUUCGUAGAUAUUCGGCGGAACACCAGUGGCGAAGGCGACUCACUGGCCCGAUACUGACGCUGAGGCGCGAAAGCGUGGGGAGCAAACAGG